AGGGAUUAGGGUUCGAUUCUGGAGAAGGAGCCUGAGAACGGCUACUACAUCUACGGAAGGAGCAGGCGCGUAAUUACCCAAUCCUGACUCAGGAGGUGGUGACAGAUAUAAUGACGCUAUGAAAAUAGUGAUUAUAGUGAGGGUAUUCCAACCGAACCACAAGUACGAUUAGAGGGCAAGUCUGGUGCCAGCAGCCGCGGUAUUCCAGCUCUAAUAGCGUAUAUUAAAGUUGCUGCAGUUAAAAGCUCGUAGUUUGUUUUCAAGGAACACGUAUUCCCCCGGAUGUGUACCCUACUAGCCAGUUCUGGCUGUUACUGUGAGAAAAUUAGAGUGUUUAAAGCAGCUCAUGCAGAUACAUUAGCAUGGAUACGAAGAGUCAGAAGACCAGCACCCAAACAAGAUCCGAUUAUAGAGACAGUUGGGGGCAUUAGUAUUUCACUCGUCAUUCUGUUGAUAUUCUUGGAUUUGUUAAAGACUAACGUAUGCGAAAGCAUCCGCCACGAUGUUUUCAUUAAUCAGACGAAAGAUAGGGGAUCAAGACAUCAGAUACUGUCGUAGUCUAUCUAUAACUAUGCGACUAGGGAUGGAAUGGAACAUCACCAUUUCAGUACUAUGAGAAUCAAGUCUUGGGUCUGGGGGGAGUAUGGUCGCAGACUGAACUAAGAAUGACGAGACCCAGAUGGGCUGCGCUAUGACUCACGGGACUACAGUCGACUAGAGAUGCAUGAGCUUCUGAUCUGGGGGGGCAUGG
rnacentral:rRNA from 1 species